UGGGCAACCUGCCCCUGACACUGGGAUAACCCCGGGAAACCGGAGCUAAUACCGGAUACUCUCGGCCGAUCACAUGGCUGGCCGAGGAAAGGUCCGCCGGUCAGGGAUGGGCCCGCGGCCUAUCAGCUUGUUGGCGAGGUAACGGCUCACCAAGGCGACGACGGGUAGCUGGUCUGAGAGGACGAUCAGCCACACUGGGACUGAGACACGGCCCAGACUCCUACGGGAGGCA
rnacentral:rRNA from 1 species